UUUUUUCUUCCACAGCAGGAAUCCAGGGACACAUUUAUGACCGUCAUAAUUAACUAAGGCACCCAUCUUCCGCUGACUUUGGACAUCAGAGCUCCAGGUUCUCUCUCCUAGAACUGAGACACCCAUCUGCUGCUGCCUGUGGACAUCAGAACUCCAGGUUCUCUCUGUUAGAACUGAGACGCCCAUCUUCUGAUGCUUUUGGACAUCAGAGUUCCAGAUUAUCUCUCCUAGACCUCAGACAUACAUCUGCUGCUGCCUUUGGACAUCAGAACUCCAGGUUCUCUCUCGUAGAACUGAGACACCCAUCUUCUGAUGCCUUUGGACAUCAGAACUCCAGAUUCUGUUUUCUAGACCUGAGACACCCAUCUGCUGCUGCCUUUGGACAUCAGAACUCCAGGUUCUCUCACGUAGAACCGAGGCACCCAUCUUCUGCUGCCUUUGGACAUCAGAACUCCAGAUUCUCAGGCCUUUGUACUCUAGGAUGUGUAGCAGCAACCCCUGCCCCAGGUUUUCAGGCCUUUGGCCUCAGACUUCAAGCUACACCUCUGGCUUCUCUGGUUCUGAGGCUUUUGGACUUGGACUGAGCCAUGCUGCAGGCAUCCCUGGGUCUCCAGCUUGCAUAUGGCCUGUUGUAGGACUUCUCAGCCUCCAUAAUCAUGUGAGCCAAUUCCCUUAAUAAAUAGCCUCUCACUUAUCUAUCUAUGCAUCCUAUUGGUUCUGUCCCUCUGAAGAACCCUGACUAAUACUAAAGCUGUCUUCUGGAAGGGACAAAUUUUAAGUGAAGAUUCAAAGACCAGGGCUGCCAUAUGUGAGAGGAAAGUCACUGGCUAAGUAGAGAAGUGUAAAGUGGAGUUUUCCAUAGACUGCAAGAUGAAUGAUAUAACAACAGAUUAAAUGCGGAAACAAAUAUGAGACUGUAGCUGUCUUCUA
rnacentral:lncRNA from 1 species